ACCUUCUUACUUAAGCUCUGUACUAAAAUUACAGAAAGUAGUAACCGUGUCUUAGUAUUUAUAAAUAAAGCAGCAGAGUAAACACAAGAAGAGAAACAAUUAUACCAGAUAAUAAAAAAACUGAGCUGAACCUCUUUCUUAAGUCCAGGAUACUUUGUUCUAAAAUUUGGUACAAUAAUA
ensembl:snoRNA